CUAGCUCAGCUACACGCAAUCACACUGUUGCCAUUCUAGAAGCCGAACAGCUCGCAAGUUGCGCAACAUAUCCUGCAUGUUCAACUGUAGCACAUGCGAUCACAAAAACAUUCCUGAAAGUACUGCUGUUCUAAUGCAUGCAUGAUGCAUGCGCAGCUGCUCCUGUACUAAUGAUGCCAGAAAAACAAGUUGCACAAAAAAUGGGAUGCCCAAACAUGAAAAGAAAGUCAAUGCAUGGAGCUCCUGUGCCACUGCUGUUGCUGCAAAUAUUCAACAUCAUUGUUCCUCACAGAUGCGGCGCGAGCAAUUCGGCAUCUAAAAGUGGAGCCAGUUGAAAACUCCUAAGGAAAGAAGUCAAUGAGAAACUAACUUGCCGCUUUGAUUCAUUCCAAUGUCAUACAGCCCAUCAUCAAUUGCCACAAAAACGCAGACCUCACAUCCAUGUGCUUGUGCUCCAGCUGC
rnacentral:lncRNA from 1 species